rnacentral:misc_RNA from 1 species
AAAAUUGUUGAACUGCCUGAUUGUAUUGGAGAUCUUCUUAACUUGGUGUAUCUUGAUCUCAGUGGAAAUAACUUGAAGUUGUUGCCCGCGAGUUUUGCUAGGUUAGCUCACCUUCAAGAACUUGAUUUGAGCUCUAACAUGCUAUCAGUACUCCCUGAGACAAUUGGCUCCUUAGUAAGUCUUAAGAAAUUGAUUGUGGAAACUAAUGACCUUGAGGAACUUCCUCACACUAUUGGUCAAUGCACUUCGCUGAAAGAGCUUCGUGCUGACUAUAACCGUCUUAAAGCUCUUCCUGAAGCCUUGGGACGAAUGGAUUCUUUGGAGAUUCUAUCCGUGAGGUACAAUAACAUCAGGCAAUUGCCUACAACUAUGGCAUCCUUAACAAGUUUGAAA